rnacentral:tRNA from 1 species
AGUUUUGUAUUCAAGUAUGAUUUUAAAUUGCAAAUUUAAAGGUGAUUAGACAAUCUAAAACUU